AUUGAACGCUGGCGGCAUGCUUUACACAUGCAAGUCGAACGGCAGCACGGACUUCGGUCUGGUGGCGAGUGGCGAACGGGUGAGUAAUACAUCGGAACGUGCCCAGUUGUGGGGGAUAACUACUCGAAAGAGUAGCUAAUACCGCAUGAGAACUGAGGUUGAAAGCAGGGGAUCGUAAGACCUUGCGCAACUGGAGCGGCCGAUGGCAGAUUAGGUAGUUGGUGGGAUAAAAGCUUACCAAGCCGACGAUCUGUAGCUGGUCUGAGAGGACGACCAGCCACACUGGGACUGAGACACGGCCCAGACUCCUACGGGAGGCAGCAGUGGGGAAUUUUGGACAAUGGGCGAAAGCCUGAUCCAGCAAUGCCGCGUGCAGGAUGAAGGCCUUCGGGUUGUAAACUGCUUUUGUACGGAACGAAAAGCCCUGGGUUAAUACCCUGGGGUCAUGACGGUACCGUAAGAAUAAGCACCGGCUAACUACGUGCCAGCCGCCGCAGUAACAC
rnacentral:rRNA from 1 species